UACGUAGGUGACAAGCGUUGUCCGGAUUUACUGGGCGUAAAGAGCGCGCAGGCGGUCGAUCAAGUCGAGUGUGAAAGCCCCCGGCUCAACUGGGGAGGGUCAUUCGAUACUGAUCGACUCGAAGGCAGGAGAGGGUAGUGGAAUUCCCGGUGUAGUGGUGAAAUGCGUAGAGAUGUGGAGGAACACCGAUGGCGAAGGCAGCCCCCUGGGUUAACACUGACGCUCAGGCACGAAAGCGUGGGGAGCAAACAGG
rnacentral:rRNA from 1 species